rnacentral:rRNA from 1 species
AGAGUUUGAUCCUGGCUCAGGAUGAACGCUGGCGGCGUGCCUAACACAUGCAAGUCGAACGGGAGUCUCAUUUCGAUGGGAUGAGAGUGGCGCACGGGUGAGUAACACGUAGCUAACCUGCCCUCAAGACCGGGACAACUCUGGGAAACCAGAGCUAAUACCGGAUAAGCUCACAGGCUGUAGAGGCGAGUGAGAAAACACUCAGGUGCUUGAGGAGGGGGCUGCGGCCCAUCAGGUAGUUGGUGGGGUAAAGGCCUACCAAGCCGACGACGGGUAGGGGACCUGAGAGGGUGACCCCCCACACUGGGACUGAGACACGGCCCAGACUCCUACGGGAGGCAGCAGUGAGGGAUAUUGCACAAUGGGCGAAAGCCUGAUGCAGCGACGCCGCGUGGGUGAAGAAGGUCUUCGGAUCGUAAAGCCCUUUUCUGCGUGACGAGACAAGGACGGUAGCGCAGGAAUAAGUCUCGGCUAACUACGUGCCAGCAGCCGCGGUAAAACGUAGGAGGCAAGCGUUAUCCGGAGUUACUGGGCGUAAAGCGCGUGUAGGCGGAUUGACAAGUCAGUUGUGAAAGCUCCCGGCUAAACUGGGAGAGGUCGACUGAUACUGUCAGUCUGGAGUACGGGAGAGGGGUGUGGAAUUCCGGGUGUAGUGGUGAAAUGCGUAGAUAUCCGGAGGAACACCAGUGGCGAAGGCGGCACCCUGGCCCGAAACUGACGCUGAGACGCGAAAGCAUGGGUAGCGAACGGGAUUAGAAACCCCGGUAGUCCAUGCCGUAAACGAUGCAUACUGGGUGUUCGUGAGGGGAUAACCCUUGGGAGUGCCGAAGCUAACGCGCUAAGUAUGCCGCCUGGGGAGUACGGUCGCAAGGCUAAAACUCAAAGGAAUUGACGGGGCCCCGCACAAGCAGCGGAGCGUGUGGUUUAAUUCGAGCCUACACGAAGAACCUUACCUGGAUUUGACAUAUAGGUGGUAGAGAAGUGAAAGCGGAUCGACCUUCGGGAGCCUAUACAGGUGCUGCAUGGCUGUCGUCAGCUCGUGUCGUGAGAUGUUCGGUUAAGUCCGCAAACGAGCGCAACCCUCGGGUCUAGUUACAAGUGUCUAGACCGACUGCCUGUGACAAACGGGAGGAAGGUGGGGAUGACGUCAAGUCAGCAUGGCCUUUAUGUCCAGGGCUACACACACGCUACAAUGGGCGGUACAAUGGGUCGCGAACCUGCGAAGGGGAGCCAAUCCUAAAAAGCCGUUCGUAGUUCGGAUUGCAGGCUGCAACCCGCCUGCAUGAAGUCGGAGUUGCUAGUAACCGCAGGUCAGCUAUACUGCGGUGAAUACGUUCCCGGGGCUUGUACACACCGCCCGUCACGUCAUGGGAGCUGGUCACGCCUGAAGUCGGGAAGCUAACCGCAAGGAGGCUACCGCCGAAGGCAGGGCCGGUGACUGGGACGAAGUCGUAACAAGGUA